rnacentral:rRNA from 1 species
AGAUUGAACGCUGGCGGCAUGCCUUACACAUGCAAGUCGAACGGCAGCGCGGGGGCAACCCUGGCGGCGAGUGGCGAACGGGUGAGUAAUAUAUCGGAACGUGCCCUGGAGUGGGGGAUAACGUAGCGAAAGUUACGCUAAUACCGCAUACGAUCUAAGGAUGAAAGUGGGGGAUCGCAAGACCUCAUGCUCCUGGAGCGGCCGAUAUCUGAUUAGCUAGUUGGUAGGGUAAAAGCCUACCAAGGCAUCGAUCAGUAGCUGGUCUGAGAGGACGACCAGCCACACUGGGACUGAGACACGGCCCAGACUCCUACGGGAGCAGCAGUGGGGAAGUUUUGGACAAGUGGGGG